CGGAGCGUAGCGCAGCCUGGUAGCGCACCUGCAUGGGGUGCAGGGGGUCGGAGGUUCAAAUCCUCUCGCUCCGACCA
rnacentral:tRNA from 3 species